rnacentral:rRNA from 1 species
UGGGGAAUAUUGCACAAUGGGCGCAAGCCUGAUGCAGCAACGCCGCGUGAACGAUGAAGGCCUUCGGAUCGUAAAGUUCUGUUGCAGGGGAAGAUAAUGACGGUACCCUGUGAGGCAGCCCCGGCUAACUACGUGCCAGCAGCCGCGGUAAUACGUAGGGGGCUAGCGUUAUCCGGAUUUACUGGGCGUAAAGGGUGCGUAGGUGGUCUUUCAAGUCGGUGGUUAAAGGCUACGGCUCAACCGUAGUUAGCCUCCGAAACUGGAAGACUUGAGUGCAGGAGAGGAAAGUGGAAUUCCCAGUGUAGCGGUGAAAUGCGUAGAUAUUGGGAGGAACACCAGUAGCGAAGGCGGCUUUCUGGACUGCAACUGACACUGAGGCACGAAAGCGUGGGUAGCAAACAGG